rnacentral:rRNA from 1 species
GAUGAACGCUGGCGGCGUGCCUAAUACAUGCAAGUCGAGCGAACAGACGAGGAGCUUGCUCCUCUGACGUUAGCGGCGGACGGGUGAGUAACACGUGGAUAACCUACCUAUAAGACUGGGAUAACUUCGGGAAACCGGAGCUAAUACCGGAUAAUAUAUUGAACCGCAUGGUUCAAUAGUGAAAGACGGUUUUGCUGUCACUUAUAGAUGGAUCCGCGCCGCAUUAGCUAGUUGGUAAGGUAACGGCUUACCAAGGCAACGAUGCGUAGCCGACCUGAGAGGGUGAUCGGCCACACUGGAACUGAGACACGGUCCAGACUCCUACGGGAGGCAGCAGUAGGGAAUCGUCCGCAAUGGGCGAAAGCUUGACGGAGCAACGCCGCGUGAGUGAUGAAGGUCUUCGGAUCGUAAAACUCGGUUAUUAGGGAAGAACAAAUGUGUAAGUAACUAUGCACGUCUUGACGGUACCUAAUCAGAAAGCCACGGCUAACUACGUG